rnacentral:tRNA from 1 species
GGAGAGAGGCUGUGGCUCAGCGAUAGAGUAUCUGCUCAGCAUGCAGAAGGCUCCAGGUUCGAUCCCCGGCAUCUCCA